rnacentral:misc_RNA from 1 species
CGGAGUUCAGUCUUCCCAGGCCCACCACUUUCAUCGAGUGAGCAUUCGUCUUCUGGUUACGGGGCCAUAGCUCAGCUGGGAGAGCGCGUGCUUUGCAAGCAUGAGGUCGUCGGUUCGAUCCCGUCUGGCUCCACCAGAUGGUUUGAUCACCGAGAUCUUGUACCGUCGUCCGCGAAACAUCACUUCGCAUCCUGCUAGUCUGGAUAGACAGCAAGAUGCGUGUUUUCUGACAUCGUAAAGAGGAGAUCGAUCCGAGUUGGGUCGUGCAGCGGAUUGUUGCGCGAAUCCUUCAUUAUCUCCGGAUCAUUUUCGGCGCUCGCUUUCAGCCGUGAGGUUGAAUGCGAGUUGUAAAAUGAUCCUUUUAGCGAAGCUUGACCGCCUCGCUAUCGGAACGAUCUUACGAAGCAAGCUGGUCUUUCUAGUCAAUGUCCGGCUGUGCGUAGCGUUCAUCGAGGGCGCGUGCCGUAAGGCAAUCGUACAGACAACAUUCUGCCGAGUGUGUGGACAUUGAUAAUGAGAGCAAUCAAGUGCCUUAAGGGUGUUCGGUGGAUGCCUUGGCGCUGAGAGGCGAUGAAGGACGUGCUACGCUGCGAUAAGCCGUGGGGAGCUGCGAAGAAGCUUUGAUCCGCGGAUUUCCGAGG